GACAUGAGUCUGACCGACUUAUUUCAAAACACCACAGGGGUUUUUCAGGUCCGGGUGGAGGGUCACUUACAGCAGACACUCUACACGUGUCAACUCGGUAAAUUCAAGUUCCUCUUCCCUGAAGAGUAACACAUUCAUUCUCUAUUUUACGUGUAACUAUUUUACGUUCAAACUGUCCCGGCUGUUCGACUCGAAACUAUCUUCAUCCCGGGAGAGGAACUGUGCUCACUUUAACAUAUACUUUGACUGUUUGUAUAUGUAUAUUUAUGUCGUGUUUAAACAGCACGUCUGCGUUUUUAUUAGCUGAAAAACAUGAAGUUGUAAGUUGUUUGUUGUCUUUCAGGAAGCGUUGCCUGGUCACUACAUACGUGUCGAGGCGAUUUUCUUUUCAGCCACACGUAGUUUUUAAGGUGCAGUAGUUACGACGUAAACUUUACUCCAUGAGGACACUGAAGAGGACAGUUUAAUAUGACGGAGGAAGAGGUAGUAGUAGACACUAAAGUGAACGGGUGCGAGACGAAAGCGGACGCGGCGAACCAUGCACCUCCGGAGGCGGGAGACGCGGUGCAGCACGAGGACUUAAUCGUUGAGAAAAGCGGUCAUGAGGCGCCGCAGAUCACGCGCCUGUACAAGCGGCGCUGGAUGAUCGUCCUCCUGUUCAGCUGCUACUCACUGAGCAACUCCUUCCAAUGGAUACAGUACGGCAUCAUCAGCAACAUCUUCAUGAAGUUCUACAACGUAGACGCCUUCACCAUAGACUGGAUGUCUAUGAUCUACAUGCUCACGUACAUCCCCUUCAUAUUCCCGGUCACCUGGCUGCUGGACAAGAAAGGACUGCGGAUCGUCGCGCUCGUCGCCACCGCGCUCAACUGCGCCGGAACGUGGAUCAAAGUGGCCAGCGUCAAACCACACCUGUUCGCCGUCACCUUCCUGGGACAGUUCUGCUGCUCCCUGGCGCAGGUGUUCAUCCUCGGGAUGCCGUCGACAAUCGCGUCGGUGUGGUUCGGUUCACAGGAAGUGUCCACCGCCUGCUCCAUCGGAGUCUUCGGGAACCAGCUGGGUAUCGCCAUCGGGUUCCUCGUGCCUCCGAUUCUCGUGCCUAAUGUGGACGACGUUGACGAGCUGGCUCACCACAUCAGCAUUAUGUUCUACAUCACAGCAGGAGUAGCAACGCUGCUCUUCAUCCUUGUUGUCUUUGUCUUCCAGGAGCGACCUGAACUUCCUCCAACUCAGGCCCAAGCCAUAGCUCGUAGCAUCCCAUCAGAGCAGUACUCGUACAUGGCCUCCAUCCGGAGGCUGCUGUGCAACAGGCCCUUCAUCCUCCUCAUCAUCACUUACGGUCUGAACGUCGGGUGUUUCUAUGCUGUUGGCACGCUGCUGAACCGCAUGAUCAUUGCACAUUACCCUGGGGAAGAGGUGAAUGCUGGGAGGAUUGGCCUGACCAUUAUCAUCGCAGGGAUGACUGGCUCUCUGAUCUGCGGCAUUUGGUUGGACAGAACUAAAACCUACAAGCAGACGACACUUUUAGUCUACUUCAUGUCUCUAGUGGGGAUGAUCAUCUUUGCUGCUACACUCAGUUUGGGACACCUUUGGGUCGUCUUCAUCACCGCUGGUGCUCUGGGGUUCUUCAUGACUGGCUACCUCCCACUGGGCUUUGAGUUUGCAGUCGAGCUCACGUUCCCUGAGUCAGAGGGAACCUCGUCCGGACUCCUCAACUGUUCAGCACAGGUGUUCGGGAUUAUAUUCACCAUCUGCCAGGGCAAGAUCAUCGACAGCUUUGGCACACUGGCAGGAAACAUCUUCCUUUGUGUCUUCCUUCUAAUCGGCACAAUCAUGACAGGGUUAAUCAAGUCUGAGCUACGGAGACAGAAUGCAAAUCACCUGGCCAAAGCAGCGGCAGAGGGGCAGAUGUCGGGACAAGACUACGGAGCCACAUCAUUACUCUCCAAGCCACGGACUCCUGCUUCUCAGAUCUGAUCAAUAAAUCCUACUUUCUGCUUUCUACAACAACAACUAAACAAAUCUCUACAAAUCUUAGCUGAACACACAGGCACUGAAAGGGACCCUCUGACUGCCAUGUUGGGAGCCUGGGAGCGACGUACAUCAUCAGUGAAGCUCAGCUGUAACACACACACACACACACACACACACACACACAAUCUUCCUAGCACACAUUCAGGAAGUCACCUCCCUUCUACGAAGAGUUGAAUGUUGUGAUUGUUUAUUUUAAACCGUUCAGACGCUCGACUAAUCUUACAUGCUUAACACACAAUGUGAAGAACACAAAUGCUGUGUUCGGAAAUAUUUUUAUACUGAAUUAUAAAUGAUCUUUUCACUAAUUCAGAAACAGGACACACAUUUUGUGAAAUGUUUUAUUUUUUUAUCUCAAUCUUCUAACGUCUCAGUGUUUUCAGUGUGCAGAUGAUUACAGUCCAAAUAUUUGCCCUAAUUAAUUGGAAUGAAAUCCACGAUCCACAUUUGUAUGAAUGAUUUUUUUUUUUUUAAUGUAAGAAAUCUCUCUCUUUUUAAAGAUGAAAAUAAUUUCUACAAUGGUGUAUUGUAGGCUUUCUGGUUGACGGCAGCCUGGCAAGGACAAAAUGUUGAUGGCACAUGGGUUUGUUAUGUUUGUACCAUUCAUGUUCACUUAUUUAACAUGAUAUAAAGCCAUUUUAUGAAGA